CCUUUCUCGGCUCCACUAAUUGAACACGGCUGGGCAGCUGACCAAAAGGAAGCAAAUUCACAGACUGGCCAGCCGUCUAUGAAGUGGCCUGAUACAAAAAGUUUUGACUCAACAGACCUAAUUGACUCAACCUUAUCAUAGGUUCUGUGGCCUCAAACAGCUUUGAUCCUCUCCACUUUUCGGUUUGUCCUUCAGCAUUCCGAGUGCUUUACAGAAAUUAUUAACAAUUCCAUAAGGUAUUUUGACAAAGUUGUGUUUACAGAACCAUUGGUAUCCCAAGGCACUCCUGAUCAAAGAGCAAUAAGAUAUUUCAAAAUUGCUCCUGUGUUUGUGUUGCCAUGUGAACUUUUCCCUGAGAGGAAGUAUUAACGUGGAGACUCUGGCCCCAGAUUGGUAUCUUCUGUGAAAAUGGAUAUGGAUGAAUGACGCUCAAAAUGGCCUUCUCUUCAAAUGUGAGUUAAAUGUAGUUUGUUAGCCCCAGACUCGGGCUAGAGCAAAAGUCUUAUGCCAGGGAGGUUACUGCUAUGUAUAUUACACACCUCAAUUCUCAUUAAAAUAUUUACUGAGAGAAAAAAUGUAUAAGUAAAAAUUAAAAAAUAAAGUGACAAGUUCCUGAAUUUCUCUAAGCA
rnacentral:lncRNA from 1 species